AAUCUUAUAAGCUCUAGAGGCAUGGUAACUUGGAGCAAAAGGCGAGCUGGGAGGUGUCAACCCACAGAGUUUUAAGUACUGAGGGUCAACAUUUUCAGAAGCUCUGGAAGAUCUCAUAGGAGCCCAAGAUUUCCUCUCUCAAACCGGAUCUUGGAGCGUAGUGUGUUUUUAACAUGAUGUGUGGUUGCAAAACCCAAAGGAUUACGUGGAAAAUUUUUGAAGCUGAACGAUAGAAGGGGUUGACUUACUGAAAUAAAAGCCUCUGUCUCCACAUACGAACUGAAGAGCAUCAACCAGCUCAGCACCACAGAGUGUCUCUGG